rnacentral:rRNA from 1 species
AAUUGGUGGUAAAUCUCAUCAAAGGCUAAAUAACGGUGGGAGACCGAUAGCGAACAAGUACCGUGAGGGAAAGAUGAAAAGCACUUUGAAAAGAGGGUGAAAAGAACCUGAAACCGUUACGGGGGAAGCGGAUUGCAUUAUUCUAGUUUUAACGUGUUCAACCUUUUAGGUGCAUUGACGUUAAAACUUAUCUGCUGUGGAUUUUUGAUAAUUGAAAAUGAAUUAUUAAAGAUUGAGGGCUCCACUUUGUGUGAGGACAGCGGAUUGACGAUGCGAUACGACCCGUCUUGAAACACGGACCAAGGAGUCUAGCGCGGGUGCGAGUCGGAAGGUGUAAAAACCUGUGGGCGAAGUGAAAGCGAGAUAAAACUCUCAGUUUGAGGCGGCAUAUUUUCGUUGAAAAUAGGUCCGACCUUGAGCAGUUGCGCUGGGACCCGAAAGAUGGUGAACUAUGCCGGAGUAGGGCAAAGCCAGAGGAAACUCUGGUGGAGGCUCGUAGCGGUGCUGACGUGCAAAUCGCUCGUCGAACUUGGGUAUAGGGGCGAAAGACUAAUCGAACCAUCUAGUAGCUGGUUUCCUCCGAAGUU